UACGGAGGGGGCUAGCGUUGUUCGGAAUUACUGGGCGUAAAGCGUGCGCAGGCGGUUCGUUGUGUCGGCGGUGAAAGCCCCGGGCUUAACCUGGGAAUGGCCGUUGAAACUGGCGAACUGGAGUGUGGCAGAGGGGGUGGAAUUCCGCGUGUAGCAGUGAAAUGCGUAGAGAUGCGGAGGAACACCGAUGGCGAAGGCAGCCCCCUGGGCUAACACUGACGCUCAGGCACGAAAGCGUGGGGAGCAAACAGG
rnacentral:rRNA from 1 species